GACCAGAACAUUAGGUCCAACUGUAUAACACCACUCAGACCAGAACAUGGUUCCUGUUAGGUCCAACUGUAUAACACCACUCAGACCAGAACAUGGUUCCUGUUAGGUCCAACUGUAUAACACCACUCAGACCAGAACAUGGUUCCUGUUAGGUCCAACUGUAUAACACCACUCAGACCAGAACAUUAGGUCCAACUGUAUAACACCACUCAGACCAGAACAUGGUUCCUGUUAGGUCCAACUGUAUAACACCACUCAGACCAGAACAUGGUUCCUGUUAGGUCCAACUGUAUAACACCACUCAGACCAGAACAUGGUUCCUGUUAGGUCCAACUGUAUAACACCACUCAGACCAGAAAAUGGUUCCUGUUAGUGUCCAACUGUAUAAAAUCACACAGGCUAGAUGGCAACCUGGAAGGC